GCGGGAAGGCUAACACGCUAAAAAAUAAUAAAUAAAUGCUUUUGUCUUUGGGGCUUCAGACGUCUAUAUGAAGUACAGUGAGACCACGUGAUAUCUGGCGGAAAAUCCCAAAAGUGGGGAUCUGAAAAUGCAUUGGUGUGUCCUGUAUGUCCAAAAGCUUUUUCAUUGCCAUACACACUGAAGCAACUCAUCUCAUCCAAUCAGACACCCCUUCAUCUGUAAAGUCUGGAAAGGGCUUUUACACUGGCCCGACUGUGAUAAGACUGUGGCAUUAGCAUCCUCUGGCUGUCCACCGAAAAAUAUGCCUCAUGCAAAUGAUUGCCCAGUGACUCAGGGAAACAUUUCUAAUGUUGUGGAUCGAGUACUAUGGGAGCUAGUUGAUUGUCCAAAUGUGGACAUCUGUAAGCACUACCCAUAAUGACUGCUUAUUAUUUAAUAACCUUUGGAUUCACUUACUCACUCAUAACAGACCAAAACAGUUAGAAAGAGGCAGUGAGUCAACUCAGACCUUUCCUGCAAUGGCAAAUAUGAGAAUGCACUUGGGACUGCAAAAUAACUUUGAAACACCAGUGUCAUAAAUGUCUCAAACCUUCUGCUCAC